rnacentral:rRNA from 1 species
AGAGUUUGAUCCUGGCUCAGGAUGAACGCUGGCGGCGUGCCUAACACAUGCAAGUCGAACGAAGCGUUUUCAUGGAAGUCUUCAGAUGGAAAUGAAAAUGACUGAGUGGCGGACGGGUGAGUAACGCGUGGGUAACCUGCCUCAUACAGGGGGAUAACAGUUGGAAACGACUGCUAAUACCGCAUAAGCACACAGUGUCGCAUGACACAGUGUGAAAAACUCCGGUGGUAUGAGAUGGACCCGCGUCUGAUUAGCUAGUUGGUGGGGUAAAGGCCUACCAAGGCGACGAUCAGUAGCCGACCUGAGAGGGUGACCGGCCACAUUGGGACUGAGACACGGCCCAAACUCCUACGGGAGGCAGCAGUGGGGAAUAUUGCACAAUGGGCGAAAGCCUGAUGCAGCGACGCCGCGUGAACGAAGAAGUAUUUCGGUAUGUAAAGUUCUAUCAGCAGGGAAGAUAAUGACGGUACCUGACUAAGAAGCACCGGCUAAAUACGUGCCAGCAGCCGCGGUAAUACGUAUGGUGCAAGCGUUAUCCGGAUUUACUGGGUGUAAAGGGAGCGCAGGCGGUGCGGCCAGUCUGAUGUGAAAACCCAGGGCUCAACCUUGGGAGUGCAUUGGAAACUGUCGUACUAGAGUAUCGGAGGGGUAAGCGGAAUUCCUGGUGUAGCGGUGAAAUGCGUAGAUAUCAGGAGGAACACCGGUGGCGAAGGCGGGCUUACUGGACGAAAACUGACGCUGAGGCUCGAAAGCGUGGGGAGCAAACAGGAUUAGAUACCCUGGUAGUCCACGCUGUAAACGAUGAAUACUAGGUGUCGGGUACUAAGAGUACUCGGUGCCGCAGCAAACGCAAUAAGUAUUCCACCUGGGGAGUACGUUCGCAAGGUUGAAACUCAAAGGAAUUGACGGGGGCCCGCACAAGCAGUGGAUUAUGUGGUUUAAUUCGACGCAACGCGAAGAACCUUACCAGGAUUUGACAUCCAACUAACGAAGUAGAGAUACAUUAGGUGCCCUUCGGGGAAAGUUGAGACAGGUGGUGCAUGGUUGUCGUCAGCUCGUGUCGCGAGAUGUUGGGUUAAGUCCCGCAACGAGCGCAACCCCUAUUGUUAGUUGCUACGCGAGAGCACUCUAGCGAGACUGCCGUUGACAAAACGGAGGAAGGCGGGGACGACGUCAAAUCAUCAUGCCCCUUAUGUCCUGGGCUACACACGUAAUACAAUGGCCGUCAACAGAGGGAAGCAAAGCCGCGAGGCGGAGCAAAUCCCCAAAAACGGUCUCAGUUCGGAUUGCAGGCUGCAACUCGCCUGCAUGAAGCUGGAAUUGCUAGUAAUCGCGGAUCAGCAUGCCGCGGUGAAUACGUUCCCGGGCCUUGCACUCACCGCCCGUCA